GAGAGCCGUGUGCGGGAAAACCGCACGCACGGUUCGGAGGGAAGGGCGGGCCAAACCCGUCCCUACCCCUAUAAUCAAAUUUUUUGAUCGUGUUUUCGAAGAUUUUCCGUAUAACUGACUAACCCGAU
rnacentral:ncRNA from 1 species